rnacentral:misc_RNA from 1 species
GAUGAAGAACGUAGCGAAAUGCGAUACGUAAUGUGAAUUGCAGAAUUCAGUGAAUCAUCGAAUCUUUGAACGCAUAUUGCGCUCUCUGGUAUUCCGGAGAGCAUGCUUGUUUGAGUAUCAGUAAACACCUCAACUUCCAUAUCUUUUUUGAAAUGGGAGUUGGACUUGAGUGAUCCCAACGCUUUUCCUCACCGAAAAGUGGCGGGUUACUUGAAAUGCAGGUGCAGCUGGACUUUUCUCUGAGCUAUAAGCAUAUCUAUUUAGUCUGCCUAAAAAACAGAUUAUUACCUUUGCUGCAGCUAACAUAAAGGAGAUUAGUUCUUGUGCUGACUGAUGCAGGAUUCACAAAGACAGGCUUCGGCCGACUUUGUAAACUCGAUCUCAAAUCAAGUAAGACUACCCGCUGAACUUAAGCAUAUCAAUAAGCGGUGGA